rnacentral:rRNA from 1 species
UACGUAGGUGGCAAGCGUUGUCCGGAUUUACUGGGCGUAAAGAGCGCGCAGGCGGUCGUACAAGUCGCGUGUGAAAGCCCCCGGCUCAACUGGGGAGGGUCACGCGAUACUGUUCGACUCGAAGGCAGGAGAGGGAAGCGGAAUUCCCGGUGUAGUGGUGAAAUGCGUAGAUAUCGGGAGGAACACCAGUGGCGAAGGCGAGUCCCUGGACAACUUCUGACGCUGAGGCACGAAAGCAUGGGUAGCAAACAGG